rnacentral:lncRNA from 1 species
UUGGCGAGAGUUUUUCCCCUUUUUAUAUCUAAUAUCAUACGUAUGGCAAUAUAGCUCAUUAACAAUAUAAAGUAGAGGACUAGAGUCUUUUUAUUUGAGGUCCUUGGUUUAUGACCUUGAAAUUGAGCUCAAGGUCAUAUGCUUAUUUAACGCUCUAGAUUUUGACCUUUGCUUUUACCUCAUACGUACACAUGAUAAAGCCAUGGGACUUUUUGCAUUAGGUUGUAAGCAAUGUGACCUUUAAAAAAACAACCGGAAGUGACAUUUUGUCAAUCGGAAGUAGCUAUUUUUUGUACUAAAUC